GUCAUGUUGUAGCAUAGGGGGGGGUAGAGCACUGAUUGGGCUAGGGCCUAUACCAAGGUACCAAACCCUGUCAAACUCCGAAUACCCUAUGUGUAAUCAUGGCAGUCAGACGGCGGGUGAUAAAAUGCGUCGUCGAGAGGGAAACAACCCAGACUACCAGCUAAGGUCCCAAAGUGAUAACUCAGUGGAAAACGAUGUGAAGUUACUUAAACAACCAGGAGGUUGGCUUAGAAGCAGCCAUCCUUUAAAGAAAGCGUAACAGCUCACUGGUCUAGUGAUUUUGCGCGGAAAAUAUAACGGGGGGGCUAAAGUUAUCCACCGAAGCUGUAGAUUCAAAAUUUAUUUUGAGUGGUAGGAGAGCGUUCUAGUCAGCGCUGAAGGUGUACCGGUAAGGAGCACUGGAGCGGCUAGAAGUGAGCAUGCAGGCAUGAGUAGCGAUAAAAGGGGGGGUGAGAAUCCCCCCCUUCGCCGAAAACCCAAGGUUUCCUACGCGAUGCUCGUCAUCGUAGGGUUAGUCGGGACCUAAGUCGAGUCCGAAAGGGGGGGUAGACGAUGGAAAAUAGGUUAAUAUUCCUAUACUAAUUAUAGAGCGUGAUGGAAGGACGCUUAGGGCUAAACGAGCUAUCUGAUGGAAUAGAUAGUCGAAGGGCGUAGAUUGAGACGGAGGCAAAUCCCCCCCGUUUCUUUAAUUCGAGACCCGACAGGCACUUGAUACUCUUCGGAGUGGAAGGUGAAUCGUUGAUGCCGUCGAGCCAAGAAAAGUUUCUAAGCAUAUCUAUAAUUACCCGUACCGUAAACCAACACAGGUGGGUGAGAUGAGUAUUCUAAGGCGCGUGGAAGAAUCCUGGUUAAGGAACUCUGCAAAAUAGCACCGUAUCUUCGGUAUAAGGUGUGCCUCCUUCGGUAUAGAGAUUUACUCUCGAAAGCUGGAAAGGUUGCAACAAAGAGUCCCUCCCGACUGUUUACCAAAAACACAGCACUCUGCUAACACGUAAGUGGAUGUAUAGGGUGUGACGCCUGCCCGGUGCUGGAAGGUUAAUUGAUGCUGUUAGCUUCGGCGAAGCAGUUGAUCGAAGCCCCCCCAGUAAACGGCGGCCGUAACUAUAACGGUCCUAAGGUAGCGAAAUUCCUUGUCGGUUAAAUACCGACCUGCAUGAAUGGCGUAACGAGAUGGGAGCUGUCUCGACCAGGAAUCCAGUGAAAUUGUAGUGGAGGUGAAAAUUCCUCCUACCCGCGGCAAGACGGAAAGACCCCCCGUGCACCUUUACUACAGCUUGACACUGCUGUUGGGAUAUAGAUGUGCAGGAUAGGUGGGAGGCUUUGAUUUAUAGUCGCUAGAUUAUAAUGAGCCGUUGUUGAGAUACCACUCUUCUGUAUUCUGAUAGCUAACUCCGUACGGUUAUCCCGUGCGAGGACAAUGUCUGGUGGGUAGUUUGACUGGGGGGGCGGUCGCCUCCUAAAAAGUAACGGAGGCUUACAAAGGUUGGCUCAGGACGGUUGGAAAUCGUCCGCAGAGUAUAAUGGUACAAGCCAGCUUGACUGUGAGACGUACAUGUCGAG
rnacentral:rRNA from 1 species